UAUGGACGGUUAUAUAAUCGCAACGGAGCGAGCGUAUAAUGGUUACGUUUUGCUAAAGCCAAUUAAACGAUUUGUUUUCGUUCCACAAAUUCACUUGGCCUGUGCGGCACAUUUGUGUGGCUCUGAAAAAUGUGUUUUUGUCCCGUUUGCCAUUUGUUGUUCGCCUCACUUGCCUUUUUGCGCUGCACCAAAUUCUAACACCUCGAUGUCAGCUUCCUGCACACAUCCGCAUCCCGGACAAAUUUUUUUAACACAUUUAUUUGCCCACCUGCCACACACAGAAGAGGCCAGAGUGAUAAAAAAACCAAACCAAAAUUUUGUUUGUUUACUGCUUUUUGUGUCACGCGCUGGCCUGCAGCCCCCGAAAAUAAAUUAAAUAAAUUAUUCAAUUGAAUUUAUUUAUUACCGACCAAUUUGGCCGCUCAACAGACUUUUGCAUUUGUGUAAUUAGCGGCAGUUCGUGGAGAAUUGUGGAAUAUUGCGGACUAUUGCCCAGAUUGCAAAGGGUCUUUCGGCCAGGUCGCAAUAUUGCGAUCCGGUUCCAUCUGCCCACUCAGCCAAACAUCCUGGCCCAUCGUGGCCCUUGAGCGACGUCCGUUUGUUUGGCUUUUACUUUCGCGGCAUGUCAAUGACAUUGGCCUGGGCUUUUGAACCCAUCCAGCCGUCCAGGAGAACUCGAUGACCAAUGAAAAGGACUGAAAAAAACGUAUAGUGCACUUUAGGUGAUUUAAUGGGAAAAUUGCAUCUAAGAAUUCACCUGAACAUCAAAAAUUUCGGAAUUUCUUCGAGUGCAACCUGCGUGUUCGCUGAACACAAAAGUAAGGGGCUCCUGAGGGCCUAACCUUGACCGAUGUGAUUACUUGAGAUUAUCGCAAGAGUAAACUGAUACUCCAAAAUGUGAACGAAAUCCAGGCUCUUUAGCCGAGUAAUUGGCCAAAAUCCAGUCGAAACAUGAAGAUGACUUGGUAGAAGUGUGUGAACGCAAGAAACUAUGUAUGUGAGGAAAGGGCUGCGACGAGGAAGUGACUUUUUUGCCAGGACUACAGGACCAGACUUACUGCUGAUGGCGGGCCACGUACACAUGUCGAAAACUAACUGCUGCCACCGCUGUCCUUGCCGUCCUUGCCGCCGCUGCUCUCAUUCGACCCGUCGUCCCUAUCCGCCCUUCGCCCUUCGGUCCUCGUCAUCAUCAGGAGCUGCAAAAAUUUCAGCCAUUUGUCCUGCAUGCUUGCGGCAUAAAAAUAUGCCAGGGCCAGCAUUUUCAUGCGGGUCAUCUCCUUGGAACUCCGAGCUCCCAGCUCCCAGCUCCAAACUCCCAAGCUCCAACUCCGAUUCCGGCUCCAAAUGCAGCUGCAGCGCCCGAAAGUCAGGCUACGUGUGUGUCUGUGCCCCAGAGAGUUUUCGGGUUUUUUUCGAGGCCGGCCUCUCAACUGCUGCAACUUUUUGGGGCAGGGCAAAAAUCACACAGAACUGGGCACAAAUAAAACUACUCCGAGGACUGCUAGUUCUGCUAGUCCUCCUAGUGCUCCUACUGCUCCUAGUUGGCUGGAAAAUAACAAAGGGGCGAGCGGACGGGGCGUUUAGCAAAUGGACUCUGGCCGAAAAUGCUGCUGGCACUUUCGCAAAACAUUCCGAAUACAAAUAAAAAUCCGAGGCAUGUGAGUCACAGCAGCAAUCAUUUCCAAUGCAAAAUAAAAUUUCAUUUUGUUUUA